rnacentral:rRNA from 1 species
UCCGUAGGCGGUGUGGCAAGUCGGUAGUGAGAUCUCUCGGCUUAACUGAGAGGCUGCUGCCGAAACUGCCAUGCUCGAGUGCGAGAGAGGCGAGUGGAAUUGCGGGUGUAGCGGUGAAAUGCGUAGAUAUCCGCAGGAACAUCCGAGGCGAAAGCGGCUCGCUGGAUCGCAACUGACGCUGAGGGACGAAAGCUAGGGGAGCAAACAGGAUUAGAUACCCUGGUAGUCCUAGCCCUAAACCAUCAGGACUUGGGGUUUGCCCUGUACGGGGCAAGUCCCGGAGCUAACGCGUUAAGUCCUGCGCCUGGGGAGUACGGUCGCAAGGCUGAA